rnacentral:rRNA from 1 species
UACGUAGGGGCAAGCGUUGUCCGGAUUUACUGGGCGUAAAGAGCGCGCAGGCGGUCGUUCAAGUCGAGUGUGAAAGCCCCCGGCUCAACUGGGAGGUCAUUCGAUACUGAUCGACUCGAAGGCAGGAGAGGGAAGUGGAAUUCCCGGUGUAGUGGUGAAAUGCGUAGAUAUCGGGAGGAACACCAAUGGCGAAGGCAGCUUGCUGGGACGGUACUGACGCUGAGGCGCGAAAGCGUGGGAGCAAACAGGAUUAGAAACCCUGAGUAGUACCGUAGCAACCAACG